AGACAGUUGGCUGCUGUGAGGACAAGGAAGAGUCAGUGCCUCGAGGAGCUGCCUGCAAGAAACAUCAAGGAGGCUUAGCCUGAGUUUGUCCUGACCUACCUAGAGGAGCUAAAUGAAAGAGAGGAGGUGACCCAGACAGAAAACCACAUUCACCAUGGGGCCUGGGCUGCAGCUCAUCAGGAGAUAGACAGCAGCUCAGCAGAAGAGGUCACAGUAUUGAGCCAGAGGCAGGUUCUGCAAAAAAAAAAACCACAACAAAAUAAAAAAUGUCAGCAACCCCAAUCAGAAACAACUUUCAGGACCUUUGGACGCCCAUUUAAUGCCUGCAGAUCCCCUGGGGCAGACUGCACAGCUGACAGUGGCACUGGUGAGGAAACCAGAAGAGAAACAUCCUAAGGCCCCAGCUCAAAGCUUUGAAAAUGGUUCAUUUAUUUGGCUACCAGCAGAAACACUUGGCAGUAGUAACCGACUGCCAACAUGAACAUGUGGAGCUUUUAUUCCUUUUUCAUUUGACUUUGCCAGUAGGGACCUCUGCUCAGUGUUUCAUCCAGAGAAGGCACCUUUGACAGUGUGGCUGCUCUUGCCCUACGAGCACUGUGCCUCUGUGGCACCACUGAAUUACAGCCUAAGUUUUUAUCUUGUCCUUCAACCCCUGACCCGCUGGCCUGCAGGCAGGAAAAUUACCAGCACAGCUAUGCUGGGGCAGGCAGCAGAGCGCACACAAAGAUAAAACAGUCUGGAAACAGCAAAAUCUAACCAGUUCUUUCUGUUUUUCUCUGCUAAAAAAAAAAAUUAAAAAAAAAAACAAAUAAAGGCAAAACCCCCUCUUUCUUUCCUCUCCAAGCUGGAGUGUGACUUUAGGCAGCUUUGGCUUGCUCACUGACCCAUGAACAAGCACCAUCAUCCUAUUAGUACCCUGAAUGUGAGAUAACUGUGCCAUGGCAGUGUCUUGAACCACAGGGUGUACAUAUGUUUUGAGGCAGAUGAGGAUAAUGUGUUUGUAUUUUUGAGGGGGUGGUGUCUCUUCAUGGUGAUAAUUAUGAUUAUUCCAGUCUGUUGAAAAGAAUUGAAAAAAAACCAUUUUGUUUAAUGCAUAAUGAAUCCUCAUCAGAAACAAUUCAAAGGAACAUAUAUGUGUUAUACAUAUAUGUAUAUGUUAUUUAUAUAUAUGUGUUAAUUAUUAUAUGAACGUGUUGAGAUUUUAGCUAACUAAAGACUAGAAAAGUACAAGGCCGUGGGUAAUUCCAAGUCCUACACCUUCAAGAUAGCGUGUCCUUAAGCCUAGCUGUAGUAUGAUAACAAAUAGUGACAGAGACAUGAGAAAAGAGAGAUGUAACCUCUGAGGAAUGAAGAAGAGCUAGUGUUAUAAUGUAGCCAGUGGACAGUGUAAAUUACAGAAUAUUCAUGAACUUAUUACUUGCUGUGUAAAAGUCUGAUACUCUCUUCAAUAAACAAGACUUACUAAUAACUC